rnacentral:rRNA from 1 species
UACGUAGGGGCCGAGCGUUGUCCGGAGUUACUGGGCGUAAAGCGCGCGCAGGCGGUUCGUUAAGUCUGUCGUGAAAGCCCUGGGCUCAACCUGGGAAUUGCGAUGAAUACUGGCGAGCUAGAGUACGGUAGAGGAUGGUGGAAUUCCCGGUGUAGCGGUGAAAUGCGUAGAGAUCGGGAGGAACACCCGUGGCGAAGGCGGCCAUCUGGACCAGUACUGACGCUGAGGCACGAAAGCGUGGGGAGCAAACAGG